GACGAACGCUGGCGGCGUGCCUAAUACAUGCAAGUCGAACGCAGUGGGGACGGGUGAGUAACACGUGGGUAACCUCCCAUCAGAGGGGAUAACACUUGGAAACAGGUGCUAACCAGAUACGGAUGGAUGAACCCGCGGUGCAUUAGCUAGUUGGUGAGGUAACGGCGCACCAAGGCCACGAUGCAUAGCCGAGCGGAGUGGGUGUGCGGCCACACUGGGAGUGAGACACGGCCAAGACUCCUACGGGAGGCAGCAGUAGGGAAUCUUCGGCAAUGGACGAAAGUAUGACCGAGCAACGCCGCGUGAGUGAAGAAGGUUUUCGGAGCGUAAAACUCUGUUGUUAGAGAAGCGGUAUCUAACCAGAAAGCCACGGCUAACUACGUGCCAGCCGCCGCGGUAAUUC
rnacentral:rRNA from 1 species